rnacentral:rRNA from 1 species
UACAGGGGGGGUAAGCGUUGUUCGGAAUUACUGGGCGUAAAGGGCUCGUAGGCGGCCAACUAAGUCAGACGUGAAAUCCCUCAGCUUAACUGGGGAACUGCGUCUGAUACUGGAUGGCUUGGAUUCGGGAGAGGAAUGCGGAAUUCCAGGUGUAGCAGUGAAAUGCGUAGAUAUCUGGAGGAACACCGGUGGCGAAGGCGGCAUUCUGGACCGACAUUGACGCUGAGGAGCGAAAGCCAGGGGAGCAAAGCGGG